rnacentral:rRNA from 1 species
UGGGGAAUAUUGCACAAUGGGGGAAACCCUGAUGCAGCGACGCCGCGUGAGCGAAGAAGGUUUUCGAAUCGUAAAGCUCUGUCCUAUGGGAAGAUAAUGACGGUACCAUAGGAGGAAGCCCCGGCUAACUACGUGCCAGCAGCCGCGGUAAUACGUAGGGGGCAAGCGUUGUCCGGAAUCACUGGGCGUAAAGGGUUCGCAGGCGGAAAUGCAAGUCAGUUGUGAAAGGCAGAGGCUCAACCUCUGUAAGCAAUUGAAACUGUAUUUUUUGAGAUGUGGAGAGGCAAGUGGAAUUCCUAGUGUAGCGGUGAAAUGCGUAGAUAUUAGGAAGCAUACCGGUGGCGAAGGCGACUUGCUGGACACAAACUGACGCUGAGGAACGAAAGCGUGGGUAGCAAACAGG